CGGCGGGAGUAGUGCUUCAGGCCAGAGUCGAGAGGCGCUGGCGGCGGCUGGACCGCGAGGUGGGCUCGGUGGGCUCGGUGGGCGGCGCCGAGCUCGGCUCUGCUGGGAGGCGCGGACAGCGCGGGAUGCCACCCGCCCCACCGGGUCCCGGCGCACAAAGCUACACGCCUCGCUGCAGCCCUCUGCCCUGCUUGGCGCUCCGGA
ensembl:misc_RNA